rnacentral:rRNA from 1 species
UACGGGGGGAGCAAGCGUUGUUCGGAUUUACUGGGCGUAAAGGGCGCGUAGGCGGCGCAACAAGUCACUUGUGAAAUCUCCGGGCUUAACCCGGAGCGGCCAAGUGAUACUGUCGUGCUAGAGUGCGGAAGGGGCUACUGGAAUUCUCGGUGUAGCGGUGAAAUGCGUAGAUAUCGAGAGGAACACCUGCGGCGAAGGCGGGUAGCUGGGCCGACACGUGACGCUGAGGCGCGAAAGCCAGGGGAGGCGAACGGG